GUCUGUUUCUCCAUUGCUGCCCUGUAAAUAAAAUUGGAACAAUACAGAGAAGAUUAGCAUUACCCCUGCGCAAGAAUGAUUGACUUUUAAUAGCUGAUGGACAUUUUACU